UACAGAGGGUGCAAGCGUUAAUCGGAAUUACUGGGCGUAAAGCGUGCGUAGACGGUUAUGUAAGUCGGGUGUGAAAUCCCCGGGCUUAACCUGGGAACUGCAUUUGUGACUGCAUAGCUAGGGUGCGGAAGAGGGAAGCGGAAUUUCCGGUGUAGCGGUGAAAUGCGUAGAUAUCGGAAGGAACACCAGUGGCGAAAGCGGCUUCCUGGUCCAGCACCGACGUUCAGGCACGAAAGCGUGGGGAGCAAACAGG
rnacentral:rRNA from 1 species